CUCUCUCUCUCUCUCUCUCUCUCUUUCUUAUUUAUUUUCCUAAAUUAAUAGAAAUCCCAGAGCUUGGUGAGUCAGGAUGUGUGCGUCUCCUCCUCCUUGUCAGACCAUUACUUUGAUUAUUUCCCUGAAGAGAUGAAUUCCAACUGCAUCUUUCAGCCGCGGCCCAUUCCAGAGAGCAACGUCCAGAUGGACAGCUUCGAGAAUCAACAAUUGAUAAGCAUGAUGAUCCCCAACGAGACCUACUGCAGUGGUAUUCUGCAUCCCGCUACCUCAACAAAACUUUGGCGCCAGGAAAAUCACUCCCCGAAUAUGGGCUAUUACGGCCAUGGCAUGGCUCCCCGCUCACCAUCAGGUUCCCUGAAUAUGCCAAGUCCGGUCGAUUACAAUAGUUAUUCGCCACAGGAGUCUUACUCUUCGUCGUGUUACAACUCUCCGACGAGGCUGGACUUGAGUUCUGGGUUUGUUCCAGAGCACUACCACUACCAGAACUGCAACCUCCAGGAGAGCGUCUCCACUCCAGAAUACGCACCUUAUGGCACAUCAGACUAUGUAUACGCCUCGCCUGCGGAGGACAGCUACUUCAGGCGUGAUUUGUCAAAUUCAGAGUUGUGCUACAUUUGAAUAUUUAUUCGGUCUUUGUUGUCUGUGUAAAUAGAGUAUAAUGUACAGUCAAAACAAUGUCUGUAACUCGAAGUCAAACGUUGACACUUGUGGCACUUGUUUUGAGAUGUAGGCCUGCUUUGCAUUUCAGAGUGUUUGCGGUCCGAGUUUUUGAUAUGAUUGGAAUAAUGGUUUUAGAAUUCCUGAGUUUGGAUAAAUGUUGGAUAUGUGUGGCCUUAGUGCUAUCUUCUUAGUUAUUGACUUUGAUAUUUAAGCAAUAAGGCACGAGGGGGUGUGGUUUAUGGUCAACAUACCACGGCAAAGGGCUGUUCUAUCCUCGAUGCAACGCGGAGUGCCUGGAUAUUGGCCAUAUACCAUAAACGCCCUAGAUGCCUUCAUGCUAUUAUGAACUGGUUACCAACGUAAUUAGAGCAGUACAAAUACAUGUUUUGUCAUACCCGUGGUAUAGGGUCUGAUAUACCACGGCUGUCAGCCAAUCAGCAUUCAGGCCUUGAACCACCCAGUUUAUAUAUAUAUACAAAUCUAAUGAUGUCAUCCUACUUUUUUACAAGACAGCAUAUUUUUUCAGCAUAUUCUUUCUUAUGGAUGCAUUCAUUUAGUAAAUUAAUUGAAAAGCCUACCCAAAGGAAAUUAGCAGCACCAUCCCCUUCAACUCACUAUUUAGUUUCCCUGUAUAGAUGCACACCGAAGCUUAGUUAGAAACCUUAACUUAAAUAGAUCAAUCAUUUUCAAGUUAUUUAAUCAUAUUUACUGCUAAGACACAAAUAAAAAUGUCUAAUAAACCAAGAUAAAUGACAAUAGACAAACGAUAAUGAUCUAGAAUUAUUUUUAUAGUGCUUGUCAUUACAAAAAUAAUCUUAAAACCCACUGACAAAAGAAGAAACACAAAACAAUAAGGUUAACAUUGACCGCUCUUGAUGUGGAAAAAUGAUCUUCCAUGGAGGCAGACGCAAGUGCACGUCGCAUCAGGUCACAUCCAACUCAAGAGACGCCUGUCUCCACUCUAACCUCCGUGGACACCAUCUUCUGCGUCGGGAUCCAAGUCUCCUCCGAGGCCGAGAUAAAGUGGGGUUAUAGAAGUAGGCCUGCCUGUCCAAAAUUGUCAUAUUGUUACAUAUCACCAAAAAUACGCACCAAUAAAAGAUAACUACUUGGAUAAUGAUUUCAUGUUUUUAUGACACACACCAGGUCAAAGGGGGUUUGAUAAUCGCGCACGAGUUUUGUGUAAUGAAAAGCAUAAUCCAGUGCCUGCCAAAUGCGCGCGCAAAUCAGAAUGUAUUCAUGUAAAUUUGUUACAGCUGCUUAUAACUAUGACUAUUUUUACCCACGUAGUUUACUGUCACUCUCCUGUCUUCUAUUAUAAACAUUAUGUUGGUGCAGCAGCAGCAGCUAUGAUUAUUGUAGCAUAAACCCACAUCCAAAAUGAUAACCUUCUCAUGUGUGCAGGCUGCAAGCAUAAUGCAGCACAUACCUGCUGUGAUCCUUGACCUCUUAUGAUGUCCAACUCAUGAACCAACCAGUUCUCUGGGAUAGUGAUCUUGUGAAGGGUCCUGCGGUAAGAUGUUUCUUUUUGGAUUUCUAAAUCCUCAGUAGAGCACCUUUUUCUCUUUUUAUACAAUCUGAGCUGAAGCAUGUCUGGGUGUGCUGUCAUUCAUCAGAAUGGAAUUAAUAAUGAGGAUUCUGGAAGAGAGGAAGCCAAGGGCUGCAGGUAACGCUAGUGUUUGUCGGUGUCAUCAGAAGAUCCGCAGAAGAACCUAUGAGGUACUAGACUGAAGGCAAAGAAGGAUGCAAUUGCAUACACAGCACACAAGGAGAGUACAAUAGUUGAAAGAGGGGCCUUCAAGUAUGGUCCUUUCUCUUGACCUCUAGUUUUUUUUAAAUUUAUUUUACCAGGUAAGUUGACCUGGUAAUGAGAACACAUUCUCAUUUGCAGCAACGACCUGGGGAAUAGUUACAGGGGAGAGGAGGGGGAUGAAUGAGCCAAUUGUAAACUGGGGAUUAUUAGGUGACCAUGAUGGUUUGAGGGCCAGAUUGGGAAUUUAGCCAGGACACCGGGGUUAACACCCCUACUCUUACGAUAAGUGCCAUGGGAUCUUUAAUGACCUCAGAGAGUCAGGACACCCGUUUAACGUCCCAUCC